rnacentral:rRNA from 1 species
UACGGGGGGGUAAGCGUUGUUCGGAAUUACUGGGCGUAAAGGGCUCGUAGGCGGCCAACUAAGUCAUACGUGAAAUCCCUCAGCUUAACUGGGGAACUGCGUGUGAUACUGGAUGGCUUGGAUUUGGGAGAGGGAUGCGGAAUUCCAGGUGUAGCGGUGAAAUGCGCAGAUAUCAGGAGGAACACCGGUGGCGAAGGCGGGUCUCUGGGCAACAACUGACGCUGAGGAGCGAAAGCGUGGGGAGCGAACAGG